AUGUCAGCGAUGCAAGCCGAGCGCGGAGCAGGACCAGAGAAUCGCCCAACUUUGAGAGAAAAUGCACUAGUGCAGUCGCAAUGCGGAAGUGCCGUUUCCACAAUGGCUCCUUGUGAAGCGAUCCAACGGAAGACUACACUUCCCACAAGUCUGUGCGACGAGGCGCCAGGAAAACAGGCUGGUGACGUGUGUGUUUCCUGUGUUUCUUCACCUCUGCAGAUGCUCAGGAGCUUAAGACAGAAGGAUGCCAAAUCCAAGGAUAACCUGGGCAAAAGGUACAAACUACAAAAAAGGGUUACUGAGCAUCUUAGGGGUAAAGUCCCUGCUUGCCUGGGAUGAAGAAGGCUUUAGUUAUAAAUACACCACUACAAUAGACAAUCUCGUCCUGUAGUUAAAUAAAAUAACCAGUUUGCCACAGCUGGAAAAAAAGUCUUAGUGUGAACAUUGGAAUCCAUACAGUGUAGUGCACAGGUCAAGGUGCACAGAUAUGAUUUAAAAUUAUAGAACAAAAUUAAAAGCCCAGCUCUCUAGAAUUCACUUGUAAAGAACUCAGAGAAUCUAACUGGGAACAUAGAAAUAAUGAAUGAAUGAAUAAAGAUAGAUUGGCACCAUUGGGACCUCCUAUCUCCUCGUAAAUAUCUAGUGCUGUACUGGUCAUGCCAAAGACCAAAGAACAAACCUUUUUAGAAAGAAGAGUCUGGACUCGUGACGGACAGUGGUUCACAAGGAAGCUAAAUCUCAGCUGAGAAGGAAAGUCUUUUUUUUUUUUUUUUUUUUUUAAUAAGAAACUUGUGUCCUGCCGGGCAGUGGUGGCGCAUGCCUUUUAUCCCAGCACUUGGGAGGCAAAGGCAGACAGAUUUCUGAGUUGGAGGCCAGCCUGGUCUACACAGUGAGUUCCAGGACAGCCAGGGCUAUACAGAGAAACCCUGUCUCGAAAAACCAAAAAAAAAAAAAAAAAAAAAAAAAAAAAAAAAAAAAAAAAGAAAGAAAGAAAGAAAGAAAGAAAGAAAGAAAGAAAGAAACUUACUUGUGUCCUUUUUUAUUCUUCCCUGAAAUGUUUAAGAAGGAGUUUUAAUAACUGGUUGGGGAGGGUGGUUGGAGAGAUGGCUCAGCGGUUAAGAGCACUGACUGAUCUUCCAGAGGUCCUGAGGUCAAUUCCAGCAAUCACGUGGUAGCUUACAACUAUCUGUGGAUCCCAAUCCAGUGCCCUCUUCUGGUGUGUCUGAAGACAGCUAUGGUGUACUCAUAUAGAAAAAAAUAAAAAUAACUAUUAGGUGACA
rnacentral:lncRNA from 1 species